rnacentral:antisense_RNA from 1 species
AGAACUCUGCCACAUGUGUCAAAGCUUCCUUUCUUCUAGGAUGGCUUGAUCAGGAGGCUCUUCAGGUGUGGCUGCCAGCAGUACCAAACUUUUCCUUACAACUUAGCAACUCUAUUCCAGCAAAGUCCCAGGCUAGUCACAUGCCAUGCUAAUUUCUGAAUCUGUCACCAUGCCUCUGGCCAAGUCUGGCUUCUGUCGAGCUCUGAAGCCAGAACGUGAAAUUGGCCCCAUGAAACCACAUGGCCCGAAGGACCAAGUCUUUGCAAAACCUAUCAAAUGGAUGGAUGGCUUCAAGACAGCAGAGAACCCACAAGCUUGAAGAGGCCUCCGGAGAGUUCACUCAGGAUAAACGGGGUGAUGGCAUCGUCCUGGUCCUCUCUGUAUAGUAUCAGUGUUACAGCCCUGUGAGUUCAGUAGUAAAGGAUCUGGAGUCCAUGGGGAAAUUCUAAGGAGAUCAAUGGAACUGAUAUAUUAUAUAGCCAAAUACUUAUUAAUAAAGUAACCAUCCUUAUAAA